UACAGAGGGGGCGAGCGUUGUUCGGAAUUACUGGGCGUAAAGGGCGCGUAGGCGGCCCGCUAAGUCGAACGUGAAAUCCCCAGGCUCAACCUGGGAACUGCGUCCGAUACUGGCGGGCUUGAAUCCGGGAGAGGGAUGUGGAAUUCCAGGUGUAGCGGUGAAAUGCGUAGAUAUCUGGAGGAACACCGGUGGCGAAGGCGGCAUCCUGGACCGGUAUUGACGCUGAGGCGCGAAAGCUAGGGGAGCAAACGGG
rnacentral:rRNA from 1 species